rnacentral:rRNA from 1 species
GACGAACGCUGGCGGCGUGCUUAACACAUGCAAGUCGAACGGAAAGGCCCUGCUUUUGUGGGGUGCUCGAGUGGCGAACGGGUGAGUAACACGUGAGUAACCUGCCCUUGACUUUGGGAUAACUUCAGGAAACUGGGGCUAAUACCGGAUAGGAGCUCCUGCUGCAUGGUGGGGGUUGGAAAGUUUCGGCGGUUGGGGAUGGACUCGCGGCUUAUCAGCUUGUUGGUGGGGUAGUGGAUUACCAAGGCUUUGACGGGUAGCCGGCCUGAGAGGGUGACCGGCCACAAUGGGACUGAGGUAGGGCCCAGAAGGCUAUGGGAGGCAGCAGUGGGGAGUAUUGCAGAAUGGGCGGAAGCCUGAUGUAGCAAUGCCGCGUGCGGGAUGACGGCUUUCGGGUUGUAAACCGCUUUCGCCUGUGACGAAGCGUGAGUGACGGUAAUGGGUAAAGAAGCACCGGCUAACUACGUG